AAAUACAUAAAAAAUUGAAUUGACCUAUAUGUCGUGUAUUCAUCUACUUCUAAAAUCAAACAAGUCAAUCAUAGUGGUACUAUUUUCCCGUUAACAAAUCAGAGGGGUCAAACAAGGGGGGGAAAAAAUCAAAUUGGGAGGUUCCUAACGGCGGCAUGGAAGUGAACGGGGACGACGGCGAACCGGCGGCGAAAUCUCCAGCUGAAGAAGAAAUGACUACAUUUUCUCGCCACAAUUUCGGAAAUUCUGAAAACACCGACGACGGCUUCUCCGUCACCAUCAUCGAGAACAUGAAAGAAGAGUACGGUUUAUUCAUAUGGCCUUGCGGUAUUAUUCUUGCCGAGUACAUAUGGCAACAAAAAUCACGCUUUACUGGCGCUACUGUGGUUGAGCUUGGGGCAGGGACCUCGUUGCCUGGGCUGGUUGCUGCAAAAGCGGGUGCAGAUGUGACGCUCACUGAUGAUUCAAGCAGAUUGGAGGUGCUCACUCAUAUGAGAAGACAGUGCGACUUAAAUGAUAUCAAGUGCAAGAUACAUGGACUUACAUGGGGUGUGUGGGAUGCACAAACCUUCUCUCUGUGCCCAAACAUUAUCCUUGGAGCUGAUGUCCUAUAUGACAGUUGUGCCUUUGAUGAUCUCUUUGCAACUGUGGCAUUUUUACUCCAGAAUUGUCCAUCAUCUGUCUUUAUUACUACAUAUCAUAACAGAAGUGGGCAUCACCUAAUUGGAUUCUUGAUGGUAAAAUGGGGCCUGAAGUGUGUUAAGCUUCUUGAUGGGUUCUCAUUCAUGCCAUCACACAAGAUGUCUAGUUUGAGUGGUAACAUUCAAUUGGCUGAGAUUAUUUUGGACACAGCAAACAGAGACGAUACAAAAUUGAUGUGACUGAACUCAAGUGUGAUGGUGCCAAAUACUAGGUCCAGCUUACAUAUUUUACUUCUUCCAUUGGGGGAAACUUACUAUCACCACUGCAUCUCUCGCAGCAAAGGCUAAAAUAUCUGCGCAUGAGACUAUGCUGGGGCAAAGAGCUUCAACUGCUUCAACUGCUUUCUUCACAUUAUCAAUGACAUUGAAUGCAUGCAAAGAAUUAGAGGGACCAUCUUUUUCUGUCAAGUUCCUCAACUUGUCUGACAGUGUAUUCGGCCCGAUGACAUGUUUUAGCAUAGUAAUUUGAACUACGGCAUUCCCUUGACUCUUGAGGGUAGAUUGCAAAAACAAGUAAUGAGCUCAACAUUGCAACAAAAUACGCCAUUGACUCUUUAUGCCUACUAGGAUCUCUAGUAAUUAUUUUAUAGCUGUCUAAUUACAUAAGAAUUGCAAAGGCUAGCUAUUUUUAGGAAGAAGACCAAAGUUGUGUUAUUGCUCUGGAAUUUGUUGAAUUAAAAUGAAUGGUUAAAACAGUGAAUUUGGUUGCAUGCA